ACGCUUUUCGUUAUUUUCUUGUUCCUUAUGUCCCAGUGCUUAAUGCGAUAACCGCGCAUUACCGUUGUAACAACCAGUCAGGAAUCCUAACAGACAUUAAAACACACCGUUCUCUUGGCAACAGAUCAAUCGGCCUUUUUAAAACUACGUACUAAAUUGGAAAAGAAUCUCAGCAGUUUUUCAGUCAACUUUUUUUAAAUUGCUUAAAUGGAUGGACGUGCUCACGGCCCACUUGGGUGUUAAUUGGUUAUAAGAGCCCAUAGACAACUACAACGGAAAUGCCGCCCCUCACCAUGAGACAAGAGUUCUAAGGGUCUCAGUUGUAAUAGUACAAUGGCUGCCCCACCCUUCAAACUGAAACGCACUAUUUCUUCACGACCCAAACAGACAGGACGGUGGUACCUACCCGUGGAACUCACAAGAUGACCUACCAUCAGUAAUUACGCAAAUUAUAACGUUUACGAGUUCGACUUUUAUUAUACGAUGUUAUUUAUACCUUCACCAUGGAAGUCAUACGUGAUCAUUUGUUAAGUAUGUCUUUCAUUAGAAAAAUUGGUACCCGCCUGCAGGAUUGGAAGUUCUUUCGUAUUUAUCAUCUCAGCCUAUAGCUCUCCACUGCUGAACACAGGUCUCUCCAAUGAAUCUCCAGUGCGACCGGUUCGUUGCCACCUAAAUCUCUCAAAUCAAAAACUCAUUCAUCACUUCAAUUUUACAUUUCUGAAGAAGAAGCAUAGCAAUAGUGUAGUAUAAUAUAGCAUUAUAUAAAUAGUAUAGCAACCCUAACGCCUGCCGCGUCGGCAGCCGCGUCUGAUCGCGCGCCGCGACCAAUCAGGGACUCUCGUUGUCGGUUCCCGGCGCGAUUCAAAGAGUAGCGACCGAGUGGCUUUCCUUUUGGCAAGCCGCGCGUGCGCCUUUACUGGCGCCUUCGAUCAACAAUAGUAACUAGAUUUCGGGUCGGUGCAUAAAAUCCGUCUCGUCAAAUAACAGCGCACUUGAAAUGUGAGCUCUUAUUUUGUUUAGUUCACUUCAAACACAGCCAAUGUCAACCCGUCUCACAAUACCGCAGUGUGUAUUCAAAAGUUGCAAAAAUAAGGCCCGAAAAAGCAAUUUAACGGCCGGAAUAUCUUACUUUCGCUUUCCUAGCAAUCACGUGUGCAGAAUGGAUCUCGAUUGUCGCCAGAGAAACAAGAGAUGACUUUUAUAAGCCAGCUAAGAUCUCCGCUUAUUGACACUGGACAUCUUUGCCUUCCGUGCUCACGGCUACUGAAACGUGGCCGAAACAUUGUAAUAAAAAUACAACGCUUGAAACCGUUUAAA